UACGGGGGGGGCAAGCGUUGUUCGGAAUUACUGGGCGUAAAGGGUUCGUAGGUGGCCAAUUAAGUCAGACGUGAAAUCCCUCAGCUUAACUGGGGAACUGCGUCUGAGACUGGAUGGCUUGAGUGCAGGAGAGGAACGCGGAAUUCCAGGUGUAGCGGUGAAAUGCGUAGAUAUCUGGAGGAACACCGGUGGCGAAGGCGGCAUCCUGGACCAAUUCUGACGCUGAGGAGCGAAAGCCAGGGGAGCAAACGGG
rnacentral:rRNA from 1 species